UACGUAGGGUGCGAGCGUUGUCCGGCAUUCUUGGGCGUAAAGAGCUCGUAGGCGGUUUGUUGCGUCGGCCGUGAAAACCUGCAGCUUAACUGUGGGCCUGCGGCCGAUACGGGCAGACUUGAGUUCGGUAGGGGAGACUGGAAUUCCUGGUGUAGCGGUGAAAUGCGCAGAUAUCAGGAGGAACACCGGUGGCGAAGGCGGGUCUCUGGGCCGAUACUGACGCUGAGGAGCGAAAGCGUGGGGAGCGAACAGG
rnacentral:rRNA from 1 species